rnacentral:misc_RNA from 1 species
UAGCCCAUUGUGAGAAGCAUCACUGUAGACAGUGUAUUCUUUAUCCGGUGUAGGUAAAGUAAGGAUUGGAGUUUCAGUCAAACAUCUUUUCAAUUCAUUAAAACUCUUCUGACAUUUAUCCGUCCGCUGAAAUUUCACAUCUUUCCGAAGCAACUUGGUCAGUGGAGAUGCCAACAUAGAAAAUCCCUUAACAAAAUGGCAGUAGUAUCCAGCUAAACCCAGAA